UUUGUUCUCUUCUCAUAACUAGAGCUUCUCCUAUCUCUCUCAUAGCCAAAGCUCAUUCUUCCUCUUCUCCAAACCCAUUUCCAAUAUUCCCUUCACAAACCCAGACUCUCUCCCUCUAUCUGGUCACUAUAAAGUACAUCUCAUAAACUUUAAGAAGGCAAUUUAUUUCUUCCAUCGUGUUGUUCGAUGCCACUUAUUUGAAUAAGCUCAGUCUUGAACCAUGCACACAAAAUCUCUUUUCGAAAAUUUAUGUUCAAAAUCUUAUUUGUGCACGUUUCGUCUCAUGAAAGGUAUGAUUGGCUUUUGAAUGCUACGUGUUUAUGGUUUUUUUCUAUCACUUGAAUUUGUUUCUAACACAGUGGUUUUGAUGACGCUUAUUUGAAUAAACUCAGUCUUGAACCAUGCACUAAAAGCCUCCUUUUGCAAAUUUAUGUUGCUUAUAUUGUAUAUGUUAGUGUUUCAUCUUAUUUGUGCACUUUUCAUAUCAUGUUAACAGUUCAAGGUAAUGUUUGUCCAAAGAUUGACAGAGGUGUUAGGAGGGACUUGAUUAACAUGCAAACCUUUUACAUGGAGUAUGACAUAUGCUAUGUGAUUUGUUCCUAAGUCAUGGAGACAAUUGAAACUCCAACAAGCAAAUCAACUAGAAAAAGGCUAGCUGCGAGUUUGGAAGGGCUAGAUUCAAUUAAUAUUGAGGGUGGAGAAAUUUUUGCAACUAAAGAGUACAAAAUGGUUGCUUGAAGAUUAAGGAUUUGAAGUGAACCAAGCUAACAAGCUUGGAUGGUGUGAUAUAUGUGGUGCCUAUGUUCUACUCCUUUAUUUGCUUAUACUUCUUAUUUUGCCGUGUUUUGUAUUUUUCUCUGUAAUAUGAACUAAGAACUGUCGUUGUUGGCCACUUUUGCAUCUAAGUUUUGAUGUAUGUUUUGCACUUUUUUUGUAUUCAUCUAUGACUUGCAUGAAUAGUUAAUCUUAGUUGGAUGAAUUUAUUGUUGG
rnacentral:lncRNA from 1 species